GCCCGUGUAGCUCAGUCGGCAGAGCACUUCCUUGGUAAGGAAGAGGCCGUCGGUUCGAUUCCGACCGCGGGCU
rnacentral:tRNA from 5 species